AACGAACGCUGGCGGCAUGCCUAACACAUGCCAGUCGAACGAGACCUUCGGGUCUAGUGGCGCACGGGUGCGUAACGCGUGGGAACCUGCCCUUAGGUUCGGAAUAACUCCCCGAAAGGGGUGCUAAUACCGGAUAAUGUCUUCGGACCAAAGAUUUAUCGCCUUUGGAUGGGCCCGCGUUGGAUUAGCUAGUUGGUAGGGUAAAAGCCUACCAAGGCGACGAUCCAUAGCUGGUCUGAGAGGAUGAUCAGCCACACUGGGACUGAGACACGGCCCAGACUCCUACGGGAGGCAGCAGUGGGGAAUAUUGGACAGUGGGCGAAAGCCUGAUCCAGCAAUGCCGCGUGAGUGAUGAAGGCCUUAGGGUUGUAAAGCUCUUUUACCCGGGAUGAUAAUGACAGUACCGGGAGAAUAAGCUCCGGCUAACUCCGUG
rnacentral:rRNA from 1 species